GAGCGUAUAGCUCAGUGGUAGAGUGUGUGCUUAGCAUGCACAAGAUCUUACGUUCA
rnacentral:tRNA from 1 species